GGGGGCGACAUGGCUUCGACGUGGAUACGGAAGCUUAAGGAGCAUGCCGGGGCGCUAGAGGACCUCGUUAAAAACUAGCACCAUUGUAAUUGGCAACGAUUACGCACAACCAUUAGCUGCCUAAUAAGCAUCGCUAUGGCGCCGACCUAGAGUUUGAUAGCGGCUUUAGUAAGGUGACACUUUAGUUAUCUCGAUCUGCAAUUGGCGUUUCUUGGGUUGCGGGUUUAAAUUAACGAGAAACAGGUUAUAAGCGGUAUGCUUGUUUACGGCUUAUAACAAUUUAAGAACAAGCUAAGCAUGUAGCGCCUUAAUGUGGAUGAUUUGCGGACGCGGGUUCGAUUCCCGCCGCCUCCACCU
rnacentral:tmRNA from 1 species